GACGAACGCUGGCGGCGUGCUUAACACAUGCAAGUCGAACGGAAAGGCCCUGCGUUUGUGGGGUGCUCGAUUGGCGAACGGGUGAGUAACACGUGAGUAACCUGCCCGUGACUUUGGGAUAACUUCAGGAAAAGGGGGCUAAUACCGGAUAGGAGCUCCUGCUCCAUGGGGGGGGAUGGAAAGUUUCGGCGGUUGGGGAUGGACUCGCGGCUUAUCAGCUUGUUGGUGGGGUAGUGGCUUACCAAGGCUUUGACGGGUAGCCGGCCUGAGAGGGUGACCGGCCACAUUGGGCCUGAGAGACGGCCCAGACUCCUACGGGAGGCAGCAGUGGGGAAUAUUGCACAAUGGGCGGAAGCCUGAUGCAGCAACGCCGCGUGCGGGAUGACGUCUUUCGGGUUGUAAACCGCUUUCGCCUGUGACGAAGCGUGAGUGACGGUAAUGGGUAAAGAAGCACCGGCUAACUACGUG
rnacentral:rRNA from 1 species